CAAGUUUAUGACACGCUGCUGUAAACAUAAGAUGAAAUUAAAAACUAAAUAUACACCACACCAUCAACAUACAGAUGUUUAUAUGAGCUCAAAUAUACGUGUAAUGCAUAGUGUGCGUAGGUGUAUAUAUUUAUGCAUUUAUGUAUGCAGGUGCGUGAGUAUAUCUUUUUUACUUUUAACUUCUGCCUUUUACUUGUUUCACUCAUUCGACUGCGGCCAUGCUGCAGCAACAUCUUCAAGGGUUCUUUUUAGUAAAUUAAGAAUUCAUUCUAUCGCCCCUAUUGCCGAACCGCUAAUUUACGGAGACAGAAACAAACUAACACCGGUUAUCAAGCUGGUGUGUAUGGGACAAACCCAAAGACACGCAUACGUAUGUGUAAAUAUGCGAGGGACUUCCACACAGUUUCCGUCAACGAAAUUCACGAAAUUUUAGUAGAAUACACUUGCCCCCAGGUGCUACGCAGCGGGACUGAACCCAAAAGCAUGUAGUUGCAAAGCGAAAUUAUACAUACAUGGGCAUGUGUUCAGAGCUUAAGAAGUUCACUGCUCAAAAUCAAGGUCUCAUUUCAUUACAUGGUUCCUUGGGCAAGUAUUUUCUGCCACAACUUUGAUGUCUUGUUACCCGCUUAAAAUUUGGUGUGCCGUACUUCCUGUAACCUCUCUCUUUAUUUCUCUCUCUCUCCCUCUCCCUCUCUCGCUCUCUCUCUCUCUUUCUCUCUCUAUCUAUCUAUCUAUUAUAUCUCCUUCUUAUGCUCCAUCCUCGAUGCGUAAGGUUAGACUGAAAUUCUAGGAACUAUUAAUGCAUAGUGGACUUUUCGUUCCGACAAUCAAGAUAUCACGCGCGUCUGUCACAAUAUUGUACGGUCACAUCUGUAGUUACUUCGUUGAGGCUAUGCAAGACAUAGUAUAGACGUGAGCAGUCAUGAAUCACCAGUCUGUAUAUAUGUAUAUAUAUAUAUAUAUAUAUAUAUAUAUAUAUAUAUAUAUAUAUAUAUAUAUAUAUUUGUGUGUGUGUGUGUGAGAGAGAGAGAGUGUGUGUGUGUGUGUGUGUGUGUGUGUAAAAUCAACAAGAUCACGUCGCAAAACGAAUUUUCUGCUCAUGAGGGCAACGUCCUAAAAUUUCGUUCUUUGAGUUUGAGAACGCGACCGAAUCGUGUGAAUCUUUUAGAAUGAUUUUCUCCAACACCAGUUGUCAAGCAACGGAGUUGACGAAUACAAAAACACACACACAUAAGCUCACACAUGUAUAUAUACACACACAUAUAUGGGUAAUAAUUCUCUUUUGAAAUAUUGGUUCUCGAAAUAUUAAGUAGAAAAAGUUGAGGGCUGCGUGUGGGGAUCGUGUAAUUUUCUACUUUUGAGUGUUGCAAUUUUUUCGACAAAAAUUUUGACAUGAGACAAUAAAUGUUCCAGUCAAGUUUACAAUUUUGGGUGUUUUUGACUGGUAUGUGACUUGCUCAGUAAGGCGGCGAGCUGGCAGAAACGUAAGCACGCCGGGCGAAAUACUUAGUGCUAUUUCGUCUGCCUUUACAUUCUGAGUUCAAAUUCCGCCGAGGUCGACUUUGCCUUUCAUCUUUUCGGGGUCGAUAAAUUAAGUACCAGUUGCGUACUGGGGUCGAUCUAAUUGACUGGCCCCCACCCCAAAAAUUUCGAGCCUUGUGCCUAGAGUAGAAAAGAAUAUGUGAGUUGCUCGCUUAACUACUCUAGUUGCAACACACGGUCUUUCAGAUCAAAUCACUUCCCAGACAAGUAUACCUCCGAAAAAUUAUUUAAGUGGACUCCGUGUUUUUCUUUUAUAAAAUAUAUUGAUACUUAGAGCUAGCCUAUUGAGUACUUUAUUUUCAAUGACUUAAGCUCCGUCUUCCUUUUCUAUUGGACUUUCUUCUGUCUCCUGUUUCCGAAAAAGAGCUUUGCUCGAAACGUAAAGCCACCUUUCUUUCCUUCCUUGAGAGUCUGCUAAUACUUUACAUAUACCACAUACUCGCGUUGUUGUUUUUUUUGUGUGUUUGUUCUUCGUUUUGGAGAAUUUACUACGCACACACACACACACACACAUACAUAUAUAUAUAUAUAUAUAUAUAUAUAUAUAUAUAUAUAUAUAUAUAUAAGGCGCAGGAGUGGUUGCGCGAUAAGUAGCUUGCUUACCAACCAUAUGGUUCCGGGUUCAGUCCCACUGCGUGGCACCUUGAGCAAGUGUCUUCUACUAUAGCCUCGGGCCGACCAAAGCAUUGUGAGUAGAUUUGGUAGACAGAAACCAAAAGAAGCCCGUCGUAGCCCGUCGUAAAUAUGUAUAUAUAUAUAUAUGUGUGUGUGUGUGUGUGUGUGUGUGUGUGUGUAUAUAUAUUUGUGUGUUUGUGUUUGUCGCACCAACAUCGCUGGAUGCUGGUGUGUUUACGUCCCCGUAACUUAGCGAUUCGGCAAAAAGAGACCGAUAGAAUGAGUACCAGGCUUACUGAGACUAAGUUCUGGGUCGAUUUGCUCGACUAAAGGCGGUGCUCCAGCAUAGCCGCUGUCAAAUGAUUGAAUCAAAUAAAAGAAUAAAAGAAUAAACGAAUACAUAAAUACAUACAAAUAUAUACAUAUGUAUAUGUAUAUAUACAUAUACAUAUGUGUAUAUAUAUAUAUAUAUAUAUAUAUAUAUAUAUAUAUAUAUAUAUAUAUAUAUAUAUAUAUAUAUAUAUAUAUAUAUAGGGAGAAUGCACGAAAAAAACAAAAGACGAAGACAGUUGGUGUAGAAAACAAACAGAUGUAUUAGUAUAACGCUCGGGAAUUAAAAAAGUCUUUAACGUUUCAAGCCUACGCUCUUCCACAGAAAGGAACACAGAAAGAAACAAGGAGAGAAGUAAGGAGAGAAAAACAUGUGUGUAGUGGCUACCGAGGGUGUGUGUCUUCGUGAAUGUAUAUAUAUAUAUAUAUAUAUAUAUAUAUAUAUAUAUAUAUAUAUUUGUAGAAUCACAACCCCAAACAUACACACAAGUCUGUUCUCUCAACACACUAUUCGUCCAUCCGUUCCACUCUAAUCUUUCAUUCUAUACUCCAAUCAAAUUUCCUGACAACACUCACGCACACCCACACUCAACAUACAUUACUACACGCAUACACAUAUAUAUAGUAUGUGUGUGUGUAUGCAAACACACGCGUACAUAUAGUAUAUGUUUGUAUAUUUAUAUAUAACUGUGUGUACACACUACCCCUCUAGCUACCUCCUCUUCACAACUGUACCUUUCUAUCCCUUUAUCUAUACCUGUCUCCCCACCGCUCAGAUCUAUUUUCCCCUCCAUCUAUCCCACACACCCACUCAUCUACACACACCUAUGAACACCUAUGCCCACACACAUACACACACGCACAGAAACACUCAACACACAGACGUGUAUAUAUAUAUAUAUACACACACACACACACACAUACACGCGCGCGCGCACGCACACACACACACACACACACACACACACACACACACACACACACACACACACAUACUUACCAACGUUAACACCAACCUGCAAAAUAAGUUUUCUAUUGUACCUUCGUCUUGGCAUGUUCUUUCCUUUUAGUAAGGUAUAUAGUACUCUGCUAGGAAUCCAGAAACGAUAAUAAGCAGAAAUACCUCCAACACACCUAAAAUAGACUCUUCACAAACUGCCGGCUUCUUUCUCGUCUAAGAAACCUGAUCUUCCUACGACACAGCUACUCUCUUUUCGGAUAUUGUUGUUAUUAUUGUUGUUGUUGUUGCUGCUGUUAUUGUUAGGGUUUGAUGUUGUUAUUGCUAUUGUUGUUGCUGUUGCUAUUGCUGUUGUUGUUGUUGUUACUAUUGUUGUAGUUGUUUUCUUUUUAAACUAAUUUUCGGUGGAAUGAAAGCAGAAGACAGAGAUAGACUAUUGCGAAUUUUCGUUUUGUUAUGUUGUCAUUUUUUGUCGUUUUACUUGGUUUUCGGUUAAUUUUCCUUCAAAAACCAAAAAGAAGUUCUAUCUGGCAUAAUUUGUUGUUGUUAGUGCUGAUAGUAACGGUAAUGGGGGUGUUGGUAUUGAUGCGGACUGUUGAUGAUGAUGAUGAUGAUGAUGAUGAUGAUGAUGAUGACGACGACGACGAUGGUGAUGAUGAUGAUGAUGAUGAUGAUGAUGAUGAUGAUGAUGAUGAUGAUGAUGAUGAUGAUGAUGAUGAUGAUGAUGAUGAUGAUGAUGAUGAUGAUGAUGAUGACGAUGACAACGACGACGACGACGACGACGACGAUGAUGAUGAUGAUGAUGAGAAAAAAGGAAGAAAAGGAGCCGAAGAAGAAUCGUGAGGAUGAUGCAGAUAGAAAUGAUAAGGGUGAUGAUGCUCUUCUGAUUGUUGUUGAGCAGAGAGUUUGUAGAGGUUUAUAUGAACGACGAUGAUCUGAAAGGGAUUCUGGGGUUCAACGAAGACUUUCUGGCUUGUCACUUCUGGAGAAUUUUUCAAGUCGAGAAUUACAGACAAUUUUCCAAACCUUUUGGCUCGUACAUGCUGGCGCCUGUAUAAAUGGCUAAGUUUUCUAAGUGGCGUGGAAAAGUUUAAUUUUUCUCUUCUUCAGUUCAUAGUUAAUUGUUAGAGGGAAAUAACUGGCAAAUAAACUUAAGGGUAUUUAGAUCAUUUGAUAACUGGACCUGAAAUUCUAAAGCCUUAUAAAAAUGCUAGCAAAGGACGUGGCUUCUAUAUCGCAGAGAAAGUAUAGCUCCUGAGAAAUUCAUUGUAACAUAGGAUAUAUCUAAAUGCCAAAAUCCGAGACAUUCAAUAAAUGUAAUCACGUAUAUAAGUUCAUAUUAUGUAAAUGGACAUAAUCACUCUGAAACCUUAAAUGAGACAGUGUUCGUACACGCGUGAGCUUUGAGUGCAUGAGUGUAGAGUUUUUAAAUAUGUGCUUUCCCUUUUACAUCAUUCUGUACCUUUAUUAGGGAUCAUUUUUACAUCAAACUGAGCCAUAUGCAAUCGUUGUCUUGAGUAGGAUUCAGUUACAAUUUACUACAACUCAACAGGUCCAUUUUUUUUUCUCUUCGCAAGUUCAUUUAUUGUGAAAAUCGGUUACCCAUUUGACAUCAAUGUGGAAAAGUAAAAAUGGAGAAAGAAGACGUCUAUGGGCCAUUUACGAGAAGUCUAGGAAUCCAGUACCUAAAAUACAUUUUUAAACUUAUCACAUACUAACAUGCUGGAUCAAGGUAUGGUUAAACUUGGACUUUUGUAGAAAGAAUGUAGUUCAUUAUUCCAUACCCUUCAGAUGAUCACAACAUCUGCGACAAUAAAAAAAAACUGUGUGAGACUUGAAAAUCUAAUGGGUUAAUGGUUGGACUAAAGAAGACGGUAAGAACAGGACUUUUUAAAAUAAGAAGCUUUUCCUUGCAGCCUUACUUCGAAAAUAUGGCUAGUCAUAAUAUAAUCUACAGCCUUACUUCCGAGAACAUGGCUGGCAAUAAUAUAAUCGUAAUAUAAACCGAUCAGAAAGAAUAUAUUCACACAUACACACACACAUAGACAUACAUACAUACGUACACACGCACGUACACACCUGAGAUUCUUAAGUGAAUAGAUGCACACACUUGGGUAUAUGCACCGCUAGUUCAAGCAAAAUACCAGCUCGAUCACAUAAUUACAAACAUCGGGAACUCAAGUCAAAAAACCUUGUCACUUUGUUAGCGGCCGGCUUGAACUCUCUCAAGAACUUAAACGAACUCGAAGAAAAAUCAUAAAUACACACGCACACACACACACACACACACACACACACACACACACACACACACACACACACACACGCACAUACACACACACACACAUAUAAAUAUACAUACAUACAUUCAUACAUACAUAGCGUGCUGGCUGUAUGCAUGUAUACGUGUGAUACUUGUGUGUGUUUAUAAACAAAUACUUCGCGCGCGCGCGCAUGUAUGUGUGUAUGUGUGUGUGUGUACAUAUGAGAAAAUGAGAACGAGGAGGAGAGAGAAGAUGGUAAAGAAAUAGAGAAGGAAAGAGGAGAGGGAGGGAGAAAGAGAUUUAGCGAAAAAUAUUUAGUUGUGUGAGCACGUGUCCGUUGGCAAGUGUGUUUUUUUGUCGGUAUAUAUGUGUGUGUGCGCGCGCACGUGCGUGUGUAUACGUAUAUGUGCAUGUGGGUGUUAAAAAGUAAAACGAUGGACGACAACCUAUUUCUUUACUACCCACAAGGGGCUACACACAGAGGUGACAAACAAGGACAGACAAACGGGUUAAGUCGAUUAUAUCGAUCCCAGUGCGUAACUGGUACUUAUUUAAUCGACCCCAAAAGGAUGAAAGGCAAAGUCGACCUCGGCGGAAUUUGAACUCAGAACGUAGCGGCAGACGAAAUACUGCUAAACAUUUCGCCCGACGUGCUAACGUUUCUGCCAGCUCGCCGCCUUUGGACGACAACCGUUAAGUGUCUGCCUGAGCACGUGUAUAUCUUGUUCCUCUCUAUCUAUCUAUUUCUAGCUUUCUUUUCCUUUUCUCCCAACUGCCUUGUAUACGUAUGCGCAUAAAUAUGUGUGUGUGAGAGCAUGUGUGUGUAUGUGUGUGUCUAUACGCAUAUAUUUUAUGUGUUAACAAGGCUACCAAUGGUUUCAUAUAGAGAAAAGCAUAAAACCUCUGGUAGCCUUCUUAAUCUACAGAUAAAGGAUAUUUAUCCACCAAAUGCAGUAUUGAGCACUCGUUCUCAUUGUACGAUAUUAAUAUAUAUAUAUAUAUAUAUAUAUAUAUAUAUAUAUAUAUAUAUAUAUAUGUGUGUGUGUGUGUGUGUGUGUGUGGAGGCGCAAUGGCCCAGUGGUUAGGGCAGCGGACUCACAGUCGUAGGAUCGCGGUUUCGAUUCCCAGACCGGGCGUUGUGAGUGUUUAUUGAGCGAAAACACCUAAAGCUCCACGAAGCUCCGGCAGGGAUGGUGGUGUACUCCCUGCUGUACUCUUUCACCACAACUUUCUCUCACUCUUACUUCCUAUUUCUGUUGUACCUGUAUUUCAAAGGGCCGGCCUUGUCACUCUCUGUGUCACGCUGAAUAUCCCCGAGUGCUCAGCCACUUACACGUUAAUUUCACGAGCAGGCUGUUCCGUUGAUCGGAUCUACCGGAACCCUCGUCGUCGUAACCGACGGAGUGCUUCCACCAUAUAUAUAUAUAUAUAUAUAUAUAUAUAUAUAUAUAUAUAUAUAUAUAUAUACACACAUACAUACAUACAUACAUACAUACAGGUGCAGGGGGUAGCCGUGUGGAAAAUAGUUUGCUUACCAACCACUUGGUUCCGGGUUCUGUCCCACUGCGUGGCACCUUGGGCAGUUGUCUUCUACUAUAUAGCCUCGGGCCGACCAAAGCCUUGUGAGUGGAUUUGGUAGACGGAAACUGAAAGAGUUCCCGAUAUUUGCGAAUAUGUAGAUAGUUGUGGAUUCAUUAUUUUUCAUUUUUGCCUACGUAAAAAAGUAAAAAAGUGUGUUACUGUCUGGGAGACAGAAAAGGCUUUUUAAUUCCUAUUUCUAAAUCGACUAAAUUUUUACACGCUAAGCCACUGGUAAUGGAAAUUUGUAAUAUUUCUGAUUACCCUUUGAUAUUAUUAAUAUAUAUAUAUAUAAUAUACAUAUACAUAUAUAUGCAAUGUUUGUAUGUAAUAUAUUCAUAUAUACAUGUGUGGUUGUGUGUGUGCAUGUGUUACCCCUUCCAACCCAUGUACUUCAAAAUUUACCUGCUCCUUGCCACAAACAGCUUCCACCAACCCACCUUUAUUCCACUCACAUAAAAACUCCUCAUUCUUUCGAGUCUUCAUUCCAACCAAGUUCUUCAACACUUGCUAACAGACUUUACCGAAAUUCCUUACCUACUGUCAUCACCACUAUCACCGCCACUAACAUCAUUUUCAUGAUCUGCACUGCCUCCACCAUCUCUUUCGAUUCCCCAACCAUCAUCAACAUGACUAUCAUCGCAACCAUCACCACCACUACCACCACCACCACCACUACAACCUGUGCUGCUACCGCUAUCCCUACCGUCACUGCCAUUACCACCACUCCACCACACAACCAUCACCACCAUCACCACCAUCACCGCCAUCACUGCCACCGCCACAGCCACCACCAUAGCCACCACCACCACCACAACCACAGCCACCAACACAGCCAGCACCACCACCAACACUACCACCUCAGCCACCACCACCACCACCACCGCCGCCGCCGCCGUCAUCACCAUUACCACCACCACCACCGCCGCCGCCACCGCCGUCAUCACCAUUACCACCACCACCGCCGCCGUCAUCACCAUUACCACUACCGCCACCACCACCGCCGCCGCCGUCAUCACCAUUACCACUACCGCCACCACCACCGCCGCCGCCGUCAUCACCAUUACCACCACCACUGCCGCCGCCGCCGCCGUCAUCACCAUUACCACCACUACCACCGCCGCCGUCAUCACCAUUACUACCACCACCGCCGCCGCCGCCGCCGCCGUCAUCACCAUUACCACCACCUCCAGUGCUACAGUCACUGCUGCAUUUGUCUACCAUUCCCUCUUCUGUAUGAACAACAACAACAACUACUACUGCUACUGCUACUGCUGCUGCUGCUGCUGCUACGAAAACUCUUGUUUUACUUCAACCAUCGACAUUAUCCCGCCACCACCAAAUAUUAUUACUAGCGUUGCCACCAUAGUCAUCAUCAUCAUCAUCAUCGUCGUCGUUGUCGUCGUCGUUAUUACCAUUACCACAGCCACCAGAACUAUCUCCUCCCCUCACUACCUCCCAUCAUGGCUACAAACAUCAAUAACAACCGCUGCCAUCGUCAUGACUAUUGCUACUACUACUACUACUACUACUGCUGCUGCUGCUGCUGCUGCCAUUACUACCAGUACUAUUAUCAGCAGUUAUCAUCACUAGCAUCACAACCACCACCACCACCACCACCCAUCACCAUCAACAUCAUCAACACCGUCACCAUCACCUCCAUCAUCAUCAUUACCACCACUAUCACCACCACCACCUUCACUACCAUCACCACCAUCAUCACCAUCGCUACCUCAACCACUAUAUAACAUCACCGUCAACAUCAUAACCAUCACCACCAGAACCACUACCACUAACACCAUCAACACCAUCACCACUGCCACUCCCAUCACCAUCAUCACCACUUCCACCACCACCACCAUUACCACCACUACCACCAUAACUCCUAAUUAUCAUUAUCACCACCACCACCAUUAUCAUUACCACCAUCACCGCAAUCAUUACCACCACCAUUAGUCUUUCGUUUUCUGGGGUCGAUAAAUACAGUACCAUAAACCUAGAGCUGUGGAGUGGCGGUAACGUUUAGACGUCAGAUAGAAUAUCUUGCGCUACUUGUACAAACUCUUUUGCGCUUUGAGUUCAAAUCCUGCUGUGAAUUAUACAGGUAGUUGAUUUAAGACGUCACCCGGUUUAACACUAACACCUGAUAUUUUUAGCGAUCGGAGUUCACUUUUGGAGUAGUCAUUCUGGUUAGGCCCCAUCUUUCUCUCCUUUCAUCCUUUCUCCCACUUUCUUCCUAUCAAACUUAUAGGGUUGGAGGCAUUGUAAUGGGUCAUGGACAGUACUUUUCUCUUCAGAGUGAGAGAUUUAAAAAAAUCACACAGCCCCAAGCACAGCCACAGCUCAACCCUCCCACUGUAGCCAAUAAUAUUAUCAUCAUCACAAUUCCUCCAACAACGCCAAAAUUCCUCCAAUACACUGACAAUUCCUCCAACAACGCCACAAUUCACCAACACCCCUAUAAUUCUUCCAACAGUCCCACAAUUCGUCCAACACAACAAUUUCCUCAAGACACAACAAUUUUCUCCAACUGCCACCUUAAUUCCCCCACCACCCCUAUAAUUCCUCCAGCACCCACCAUCCCCACAACACCACCACAUUUCCUCCAACAUCUCCACAAUACCCCUACCCCUAUCUUAUCCCAUAGCUCCCCAGCAUGUGGAAACACAUGUAAACACGUGUACACAGAGAUACACACAGACACACACACACAGACUUAUACACACACAUAGACACACAGACACUCAUAUAUAUAUAUAUAUAAUUCGUAAAGAGACCGAUAGAAUAAGUACUGGGCUUACAAAGAAUAAAUCCUGGGGUCGAUUCAUUCGACUAAAGGUGGCGCUCCAGCAUGUCCGCAGUCAAAUGACUGAAACAAGUAAAAGAAUAAAAGAAUACAUAUGGAGGGGAUUCCGAAGUCGUCUGGAGGCUGUGGUUGAAGCCAAUGGCGAAUCUAUUGAAUAAAUUUACUCUUUAGUAUUUCAAGAUGUUUUAAUGUAAUUUUAGUAAUUAUAUCUGUUAAAUUGAGUUGUAAGUGUUAUUUUCAUUUUUGCGGUAAAUAUAUUGUCGUCUAAAUUACGACAUAUAUGUGUGUAUAUGUGUAUGCAUGCAUGUAUGUAUGUAGAUAGAUAGAUAGAUAGAUAGAUAGAUAGAUAGAUAGAUAGAUAGAUAGAUAGAUAGAUAGAUAGAUAGAUAGAUAGAUAGAUAGAUAGAUAGAUAGAUAGAUAGAUGCAGUAACAUCUCUGCAAAUCAGCCAAAAGAACAUAAAUGUCAGAAUGAAAGAAAUUCUGUCGAUACAGCGCAUCAGCAAUAUUAUGUGGGAUGUCUGUGUAUGUUACAAAAGAGUGUGAGAGAGAGGAGGGGGAGAGAAAAAAGGGAGAUAGAGAGGGGAAGAGAGAGAAAGAGAGAAAGAGAAUAGUCUGUCAGACAAAAUAUUAUUAUGAGAUGAGAUAAUCGGAAGUGAAGGCAUUUAGGCACUCACACAUUCCAACUUCUAGAAAUUUACGCAUGCGCACACACAUAUAAACUGACACAUCCACACAUACGUACAUACAAAUACGCACACGCACACAUUGUCUGCAUACACAUAUAUAUACGUAUUUAUUCAUACUAUAUAGAUAACUACAUACAUACAUACAUACAUACAUACAUACAUACAUACAUACAUACAUACAUACAUACAUACAUACAUAUAUAUAUACACAUAUGUUUACAUCCACUCCCACACACGUAUAAGUAUAUACGUAAAUACAUACAUACAUACAUACAUACAUACAUACAUGCAUGCAUGCAUACAUACAUACAUACAUACAUACAUACAUACAUACAUACAUACAUACAUACAUACAUUUAAGAUUUAAGAUGUUUUCCUUCACUGUCUUGCUACGAAGUAGGUGGCCGGUCAAAAUUUAAUCUCAAUUAAGAGAAAGAGAACAUACAUAUAUGAGUGCAUAUGAUUACAUUUGUACGUGUGUGUGUGUGUGUGUGUGUGUGUGUGUGUGUGUGUGUGUGUGAAAUCUGAGAAGCGUGCAACUAGCUCUUAGCCACUGUUUUUCUCAGGUAUACUCUGACCAAGAAUAUUAGCAUCUAUUAGGGUCCCAUCUAAGGGUUAAUUAGCAUGUGAACCACUGGGAGUGAAAGACUCCUUGUUCUCGUUAGAACUCCCUUCUGAGGGGAGGUAAACUCUUAUAAAAUAACCUAGUGUCAGAUCGGUUUCUUGUCGUCUCAACCUCCGUUAUGCCACUGGUUUUAUAGUCGAUUGCAUCAACAAUUCGUUCAGUGUUGUACAACAUUUUAUCCACUUGCAUAUGUAAGUACGUAUGUGUACACGCACACACACGCACACACACACACACACAUACACACACACACAACCGAAAUGCCCGGCUAAAAUGACGGUCUGUUUCUGUCAUCUUUCAAGUAUUCUUAAUGUUUUUGCUUCAGUUCUUGCCCCUCUAUUUUCUUCUUGUGUUUCAUUUUGUCUUCAUUCAGUUAUUAUUUGCUUCAUCUCCUUUCACUCGCCUUCGUUUUUAUCUACUGACUCUUACUUCAUUAUUCUCUCUCUUCCACUUCACUUUGUUAUGUAUCCUCUCUUUCUUUCUCUCACAGACACACACACGCACACACACACACACACACAUACUAACUCUUCUGCUCUCAUUCUUUGUUAUAUCUCCUCCUUUAUGAAACCGUCAGUCAAUGAUUAUAUACCUCACAAGCUGCACACUCUCAUUCUAUCAAUCACCUGCAUAUCUAUGUAUCUUUCUAAUUUACGAUUCUUUAUAAUACUUUCUAUCUUUCUCUUUCGUCUUUUUCAUUGCACCUACUACUUUCCCUUCCCAGCGCGGAAGAAAGAGGAAACCAACCGGCAUAAACUGAUACGUGACUUUGCAACAUAUAUAUAUAUAUAUAUAUAUAUAUAAGAAUGAAUGUUUUUAUAUAUAAUGAACGUGAAAUACAGGAAGGGACGAACACGGAACACAGACAAAUCAUUCGAAGCCUUCAAUCUUCAGUCAGACACCGAAUCAUCAUAGCAAAUUUCGGCUGUUCAAUUCUGAUAUUUGCUCCAACUCGGCCAGCCCCAAGAAAAAAAACUAAGCUGUAAGCAUUAGAUUUCUUGGUAGAAGACAGGAAUGUGAACGCACAAGACGGAUGUGAAUACAAGAGACGAAAACGAAAUUGAAAACAGUAAUGAAUAAACAAAAUAUAUAGAACGGUGGUUGUCAUACGACUUUAGACCAAAUGAGACAAAAACACAACAACAACAUAGCUGGCGUAGAAAUAAUUACCGUUUCGGUAGCGGGGACACAUGUUGGUCGAGAUACGAAGGCCAACAGAAUGGUUUAAGAAGCAGCAGGUCGCAGGAGAGAGAGAAAGAGAGACAGAGAGAGAGGGAAUCAAAGAGGGUGGAAGGCAGGGGACAGAAUCAGUGACCAAGAGAGAAGGAGAAAGAAGGGAUUAAGGAGGAUGGGAGGAAGAGGGGAGGAGGAUGGGAGGAAGAAUCGGAGGGCGCCAAAAAGUUUGGUGAAGAAGCAAUGGCGGGUAGUAAAAGACAGUGUGUAUAGAAGUCGUGCAGGGUUUAAAAUUGGACAAACAAACGGGGGGGGGGGGCACGUAACGCCGCAAUAAUAUAAGAAUGAAUGUUUUUAUAUAUAAUGAACGUGAAAUACAGGAAGGGACGAACACGGAACACAGACAAAUCAUUCGAAGCCUUCAAUCUUCAGUCAGACACCGAAUCAUCAUAGCAAAUUUCGGCUGUUCAAUUCUGAUAUUUGCUCCAACUCGGCCAGCCCCAAGAAAAAAAACUAAGCUGUAAGCAUUAGAUUUCUUGGUAGAAGACAGGAAUGUGAACGCACAAGACGGAUGUGAAUACAAGAGACGAAAACGAAAUUGAAAACAGUAAUGAAUAAACAAAAUAUAUAGAACGGUGGUUGUCAUACGACUUUAGACCAAAUGAGACAAAAACACAACAACAACAUAGCUGGCGUAGAAAUAAUUACCGUUUCGGUAGCGAUAUAUAUAUAUAUAUAUAUAUACGUAUGUAUGUAUAUAUAUAUAUAUGUAUAAAACUUAUAUAUAAAAUGUACAAAAGGGGACAAGAACGCAAACUACACAAAGAGACGACACAAAAAAACAGACAGGUCAUUCGAAGCCUCUAAUCUUCAGUCAGGAACCGGAUCAUCUUAGCAAUUUCGGCUGAUUAAUCCUGAUAUCGCUCCGAUCCGGCCAGCCCCAAGGAAAAACUAAGCUCCGAGCAUUAGAUUUCGAAUGACCUGUCUGUUUUUUGUUGUUUUUUUUUGUGUCGUCUCUUUGUGUAGUUUGCGUUCUUGUCCCCUUUUGUACAUUUUAUAUAUAAGUUUUAUAAAUAUAUUAUUGCGGCGUAACGUACCCCUUUCUCCUAUGUGUGUGUGUAUAUAUAUAUAUAUAUAUAUAUAUAUAUAUAUAUAUAUAUAUAUAUAUACAGAAAGAGAGAGAGGGGUGGAUGAAGAUAGAUAUACCUCUAGAUAUGACUAUUUUUGCCCCAGCUAUAUAUUUUAUAUGAGCACAGACACAAACACACACACAAACAUAUAUAUGUAUGUAUAUAUGUGUGCGUAUAUCUGUGUGUGAUGUGUAUGUAUACUACAUACAUACAUACAUGCACAUAUGUGUGUACACGUUUCUAAAUGUAUUUGUGUAUAAGUAUGUGUGUGCGUGUGCAUGCGCGUGCAGACAGAUAUAUAUCUGUAGAAUUCAUCCUUGAUUACUUUUUCUCUAUUUUUUAUCAAAAUUUCCUGCUAAACGAAAUUCCUUUCGUUACAAACUAUUUUUUUAUAUAGUUUCACGGUAUAUAUACAUAUAUAUAUUAUAUACAUAUAUAUAAAUAUAUAUAUAUAUAUAUAUAUAUAUAUAUAUAUAUAUAUAUAUAUAUAUAUAUAUGUAUACAUAUAUAUAUAUAUAUAUGUGUGUAUACACAUAUACAUAUACAUAUACAUACAUAUUUAUAUAUAUAUAUAUAUAUAUAUAUAUAUAUAUAUAUAUAAAUAUGUAUGUAUAUGUAUAUGUAUAUAUAUAUAUAUAUAUAUAUAUAUAUAUAUAUAUAUAUAUAUAUAUAUGUGUGUGUGUGUGUGUAUCUAUGUAUGUAUGUAUGUAUGUAUGUAUGUAUGUAUCACUUGGAUUUUUCAAGUUUUUCAGCAAUUUUUCGCGAGUCUUGUGUCGGGGAUAUCUCUCUCUCUGUCUCUCUCUGUCUCUCUCUCUCUCUCUCUCUCUCUCUCUCUCUCUCUCUCUCUCUCUCUCUCUCUCUCUCUCUCUCUCUUCCACUUCUUUCUUCUUUUCUUAAUUGGUUCUAUGCCAAAUAAACUAAGAUCAGCUGAGAUUGGCAGUAGCAAUGCAACCUGCCCAUAUAUGUGGUGCAGCAAAGUUGACGUUCGCCAGGAACUGCAUCAGAGUCGAAAGGUCAUGCAACUUGGCGGGAUAAGAUUCUGUUAUUGUUGUUCUUGAUGUUGAUGAUGAUGUUUUGUUCGUGUAUGUGUCUGUACAUUUAUAUAUAUAUACAUAUAUAUAUAUAUAUAUAUAUAUAUAUAUAUAUAUAUAUAUAUAUAUAUGGCGGUGCCCCAGCAUGGCCACAGCUCAAGAGCUGAAACUGGAAAACAAAAACAAAAACAAAUAUAUAUAUUUAUAUAUAUAUAUACUCUUUACUCUUUUACUCUUUUACUUGUUUCAGUCAUUUGACUGCGGCCAUGCUAGAGCACCGCCUUUAAUCGAGCAACUCGACCCCAGGACUUAUUCUUUGUAAGCCCAGUACUUAUUCUGUCGGUCUCUUUGCCGAACCGCUAAAUGACGGGGACAUAAACACACUAGCAUCGACUGUCAAGCGAUGUUGGGGGGACAAACACAGACAUACAAACUCACACACACACACAUAUAUAUAUAUACAUAUAUACGACGGGCUUCUUUCAGUUUCCGUCUACCAAAUCCACUCACAAGGCUUUGGUCAGCCCGAGGCUAUAGUAGAAGACACUUGCUCAAGGUGCCACGCAGUGGGACUGAACCCGGAACCAUGUGGUUGGUAAACAAGCUACUGACCACACAGCCACAUAUAUAUAUAUAUAUAUCUAUAUAUACAGAGAGAAGGGCAGAGAGAGACUGGUAGACAGACAGAUAGAUUGAUAAAUAGACAGUUAUACAUUUCUCCCACGCCUGUCGCCGCGGGACCACUCUUCCAUCUUCCCCUCCCCCCCUCCACUGCAGUUUUUUUCCUCCUUAACCCCCCCCCCUCUUUGUACACACACGCACACACACACAUUUGCAUAUAUAUAUACAUUACACUUACACACACUUCAAAUUUACUUGCCAUACACACAACUACGCACACUGGACACACUACCACUCUACACACACACUGGCACGUUACAUACGCCCCCACCCUUUCCCUCCUUCCCUUCUUCCCUCCUUCCUCCCUUUUUUUACCACUGACCACUCACUCGAGACUUGCUACGUCAUCUGUUCGCCCUGCACGCACUAACAUAUACAUAUUUUUUGUUUUUUUAUCUCGCCUCACACACACAUACACACACGCACACGCACACACUCACACAUACAUACACACGCACACACACAUACCUCCCUGUUUCUGAUCUGCCUUUCUGACUUGCUAGGGUACCCCCACACACUCCUUUAAUUCUACUACUGCCUGCUACUAGCCACUGUCCACCAUAUACACACAUACACACACACGCACACACUCACACACACACCCUCGUUUUCUCGUACACCUUUUUUACCAUUCCCUCUUUGAUUCAGCUCUCCUGUUUUUAAAAAACAUUUUCCUCCUUUUUUACUACUUCCGUCUUUUCAGUAUGUGAUCUCGUGAAGACUACCUGCAAUUUUUUUUCCUCUGUCCUCCCGUCUCGGGAUCUUUCUUUCUCCUAUGUUUCCGACGAAGAGCUCCGCUCGAAACGUCAUACCCUCCUUCUUCCAUUUUCCUGAGCGCCUAAUAAUAAUAAUACUGUAAUUGUUCCACGUGUUGUUGUUUUUUCUGUUUUCCCGUUUGGAUUAACCUUAUAUAUAUAUAUAUAUGCAUACAUUUAUAUAUGUAAAUAUGUGUGUAUAUGUAUAUAUAUAUAUGUACAUAUAUAUAUACACAUAUGUAUACAUCCGGCCCAUUGCUUGGCAUUCUGGUAAUGUGUCAUUCAUCGAGUAAGAUCCAAGCCUAGCGAGGAAAACCGGACACGCGGAAACUGAUCGGAGCCUUUCGGAUGUAUUGUAUCCGUAAUUCAAAGGUCUAAUCAUGUAACUCUUUGCGUCAAACCACACUGAUUCCGUUUAAGGAUUAAGUUAAGAGUACACAUGUCUGUGGAAUACUCAGCCAUUAACAGGCUAAUUUACCUCGUCGUCGAAACCGACGGAGAUCCAUUGACUUAUCUUUGUUCAUCAUAACCAGUUCUAAAUCAACAAUCAUCCACCUCAUCCCACAAUCAUCGGCACUACUGUAACCCAUCAAUUCAACCCUUACCGGUCAUUAAUAACCCUAACCAAGACGACGAACUGGUGAAAUCGUUACUGCACCAGACUAAAAUGCUUAGUGGCAUGAUUUCAAAUUCCACCGUGAUCGACUUUGCCUUUCAUCAUUUUGGGGUCGAUAAAUUAAGUACCAGUGAAACACUGGGGUCGAUGUAAUCGACUCAUCCCCUUUCCCAAAAUUGUUACCUUUGUGGCAAAAUUUGAAAUCGUUAUUAUUAUUAUUAUUAUUAUUAUUAUUAUUAUUAUUAUUAUUAUUAUUAUUAUUAUUAUUAUUUUUAUUAUUAUUAUUAUUAUUAUUAUUAUUAUUAUUAUUAUUAUUAUUAUUAUUAUUAUUAUUAUUAUUAUUAUUAUUAUUAUUAUCAUUAUUAUUAUUAUUAUUAUUAUUAAGGGUUAGUGGAGGAAAAAUGCGACGACGUUCUCGGGGAAACUCUAGGCGUUAAUGAUAACGAACUGAACGGUCUGUUCGGGAGGACUUUCGGGCCGGGGCCAAUGGAUAAUUUCCAGAGGUCGCUCGCCUGGCAGUGCUACCGAGGAGCUCUGCCUGUUCGGGAUAAACUCUACCGGCACGGAAGUGCCGUCAGCCGGGCCUGCCCGAGGUGUUGCCAGGACGACGAAACCGUUCUGCACGCACUCGUCCAGUGCCCGAGUAUUGCUGAACUAUGGGUUUAUGUGGAACAGCUACUGUCGCGUAUAGGACGGAUCCGGCUAUCAGCCGAAUCCAUAGUGAAGAUUGCCCCGCCGACCUCCUUUAACAAACCUAGUGGCUGUGGCGAAAGAGAUUGUAUGGUGGACCCGUUUGAAAGGGCUAAAGUCAGACACUUUCCUCUUUGGUCAAGGCCUCAUCAACUUUUUCAAGUUUCACUUGAAAAGGAAGAUGGGGUUAGAGAGGAGAGUGCUGUCCGAUAGCAAGUUUUCUGAAAGAUGGGUGAAUUGUGCGAGAAUGGCCAGUAUAAAUGGACCAAUUCUCAAGUUUCGCCUGUGAUUGACCAGGCUCCCGUUGGCUUUUAUGGGGUUUUUUCCACCAGGAACCUUUCGAAGCGCCUCCCCCUAUUGGGAGUUUUUCAUUGUUACAAUCUUUCGUUGUUAAACAGUUUUUACUCGGAGUUUUUCAAAAACGAACAAAACCCUUUGUAACCUUUCGUCUUGUUUUGUUCCUUUAUGUUUACUAAUCAUGUGUGUCAGCCCUUGUGGCCAAUAAAAAGAAUUAAUAAUAAUAAUAAUAAUUAUUAUUAUUAUUAUUAUUAUUAUUAUUAUUAUUAUUAUUAUUAUUACUACUACUACUACUACUACUAUUAUUAUUAUUAUUACUAUUAUAAGGCGGCGAGCUGGCUGAAUGGUAAGCACGCCGGGCGAAAUGUUGCUAGGCAUUUCGUCCGCCUUUACGUUCUAAGUUCGACCUGGGCGAAAUUUGAACUCAGAGCGUUGCGACGGGCGAAAUACCGCUAAGCAUUUCGUCCAACGCGCUAACUAUUCUGCCAGCUCUCAUGGCAUCUGAUCUUAACCGAUUGGAUGUGUUAUCAUGUAUAUGUUUUGUCCUGGUGUAAAAGAUGGGCUACAGCAAAUAUUCUGCUCAAUACCACAGAUUUGCUUGUCAGUUGUUUGACCUUGGUGGCCGACGAUAUGGGUUUCUCUGAUCACGAGAAAAUCUUUGGAGUUUGAAUAAUUCACCUCUGGAAACAUGGGUGUUUCGUUCAUCAUCCUUAAACAAGCCUUAUUCAGAGACCUUUUGAGCGGGGUGGGCUACUUGACCAGAAGAAAAUUCUAACUGGGCCCCACUUGCAAGGUCAUGCGCUGUUUAUCUUGAUAUGAGAUUACUAUGUCACGCAUAUACUGUUGUGAUCUAUGUGCCUAGUGCACACUUGUCAAACGGGUAGUCAUGAUAGGUAUACUGGGCUGCAUAUAUUUGUAAUCCAGUGUCACUUUGAUGCCAUGCGCUGCACUCUCACUCAAUAAUAAUAAUAAAAUGUACACUAAGUGGCGUAUGAUGUAUAUAAAUAAAGGGGCGUGUAGAAUAUUUUACGCACCGUGUUGAGGCGUGAGUGUGUCUAACUUAUGUGAUGGCACCCGUUCAUCAAAAUAUUUAUUUGCUAAAUGCUUGGUAUCUUCUUCCGGCCUUAAAAUAAGACAUUAUGUACAUACAAGCAUACAUACAAGCAUACACACACAUACAUACAUACUCGUAUAUACACUAUGUACAUACAUGCAUGCAUACAUAUACAAAAAUUAAAAAGUAUAGGCUCACUCUCAUACACAACGUCGCACAUAUAUAGCCAACCUUAUGCUUAAACACACACACAAACAUUCAUACACUCACAGGCUCCCCUCUCUCUCUCUCUCUCUCUCUCUCUCUCUCUCUCUCUCUCGCAUACACACAUUUACUCACGGGCUUAUACAUACAUGCAUAUAUAUAUAUAUAUCUAUAAACAAGCCAACAUUUGUUUUUAUAAACGCCGAAAUGUCUAUAUAAAUACAAAUAAGAUAAUCUAUUUUCGAACGCAAAGACGUCGUUAGAACAGCAGAAACACUGGGUAAUUAAUCCAUACAAUGCGGGAAAAUUUAAGAGAUACGAGUUCGUAUUCCUGGCUAGUUGUUGACAAAUUUUUCUGUUUUGUAAAAAAACAGGUUUUGUAAAAAAAAGGUUCGUUCCAUGUUUGUUUUUACAUUUUCGUUCUCGUUGAGUUCUGCGUCUAUUUGUGGUGUCCUGUACUCACGUAUAUAUAUUUAUAUAUGCAUGUAUAUAUACAUGUAGAUGUAGGUAUGUACAUAUAUGUAUGUAUGUAUAUAUUUUAUUUAUUACACUAUUGUAUGACUGAGCGCCUUCGCGUCGAUUCGUUCCGUUUCGUUUCUUCUUCUUCUCCCAGUACAGUUUUUAUAUAUAAUUAUGACGCGAAACCCUAUACCUCUUUGCUUAACCUUCCCUUCUCUCCCUUUCUCUCUCUCUCACCCCUCCUCAUCUCUCUCACAGCCGUUUGUCUUCCUCUAUCUCUCUCUCUCACUCCUCCUCAUCUCUCUCACAGCUGGCCAAAUACUUCCUUUUGCAUGCGGCCUUCUAACUGUAAACACACGGUUUUCUUGCGCUCCUUGAAUCUCUCCUCGUCUAGGCAAAAAAGGCCCUCUUUGGUUGUUUUCUUGUGUGUUUUUAUUUCUUGUAUUGUAUUUUUUUGUAAUUGUAUUUUUAUUUUGUAUUUUAUUUUGUAUUUUAUUUUGUAAUUUUAUUUGUAUCGUUUUUACGUCCUGUUUAUGUCACAUGUUGUUCUUUCCUUGUUUUUACCCCUCUGCGAAAUAAUUUCCUUUAAUUUCUUCGCAGGAAGGGCUAGUUCGAGGAGUCGUAUUCUGUCUUCACCUUCGAAACACGCUGGAGUUGAACUAGAGACAGCUGAUGAAGGGGAUUUUUCCUUGUGUAGUUUGUCUAGUACUCUGUUUUUUCUUUGUAAAAAAAAGGUUCGUUCCAUGCUUGUUUUUACGUUUUCGUUCUCGUUGAGUUCUGCGUCUAUUUGUGGUGUCCUGUACUCAUGUAUAUAUAUUUAUAUAUGCAUGUAUAUAUACAUGUAGAUGUAGGUACGUAAAUAAAUGUAUGUAUGUAUGUAUGCAUAUAUUUUAUUUAUUACACUAUCGUAUGACUGAGCGCCUUCGCGUCGAUUCGAUUCGAUUCAUUCCGUUUCGUUUCGUUUCUUCUUCUUCUCCCAGUACAGUUUAUAUAUAUAUAUAUAUAUCACUACGCAUACGUAUGAUGUAUACAUGCCGCUCAAGAGUCGACAAUUUCGUGAAGAUGUACCUAUUAAAUUGCACGAAACACCCAGUCCUUGAGUCACUGAUCUAGAGUUCCAGCUUUAAUGAAUUAAUAUAAGUACUCUAAUUUAUGUAUUGAGCACUCUGUAUAUAUAUAUAUAUAUAUAUAUAUAUAUAUAUAUAUAUAUAUAUAUAUAAAAGGGCUUAGUAAAAUAAAUUACUUUGCCGCAUACUGAACUCAUUAGAAAUAGCAGCUAAAAAAACUUUUUUUAAACUAUUUCCAAUACUUAAAGAAAAUCUCUCUCUUAUAUUGUUUGCUCAAUUCAACUCACGAAAGUAUGAGGGUAGAAACAUUAAAAAAUCAAAUGCAAAGGUUAUUUGAGAACGUACGUUUCAAGAUUAGUCAAAAAAGACAUUUCUAUCAUCAGCUCAGAACUAUAUAUAUAUUCGGUGUCUCACUGAAGAUUGAAGGCUUCGAAUGAUUUGUCUGUGUUCCGUGUUUGUCCCUUCCUGUAUUUCACGUUCUUUAUAUAUAAAACAUUUAUUCUUAUAUUACCGCGGCGUUACGUGCCCCCCCCCCCCCGUUUGUUUAUCCAAUUUUAAACCCUGCACGACUUCUAUAUGCUUCUCUUUCCUACCCGCCAUUGCUUCUUGACCAAACUAUUUUGGCGCCCUUUUUUUCGUCCCCCCUCUUCCUCCCAUCCUCCUCAAUCCCUUCUCUCUCUUUUUCUCUCGGUCUCUGACUGAUUCUGUCCCCUGCCUUCCACCCUCUUUGAUUCCCUCUCUCUCCCCUGCAACCUGCUGCUUCUCCACCAUUUCGUUGGCGAUCGUAUCUCGCCAACAUCUGUAUUUGUCUCCUCUACCGAAAAGGUAAUUAUUUCUACGCCUGCUGCUAUGUUUGUUGUUUUGUCUCAUUUGGUCUAAAGUCGUAUGACAACCACCGUUAUAUUAUAUUUUGUUUAACCGUUACCGUUUUCAAUUUCGUUUUCGUCUCUCGUAUUUACAUCCGUCUCGUGCGUUUAUAUUCUUGUCUUCUACCAAGAAAUCUAAUGCUUACAGCUUAGUUUUUUUUCUUGGGGCUGGCCGAGUUGGAGCAAAUAUCAGAAUUGAACAGCCGAAAUUUGCUAUGAUGAUUCGGUGUCUGACUGAAGAUUGAAGGCUUCGAAUGAUUUGUCUGUGUUCCGUGUUUGUCCCUUCCUGUAUUUCACGUUCUUUAUAUAUAAAACAUUUAUUUAUAUAUAUAUAUAUAUAUAUAUAUAUAUAUAUAUAUAUAUAUAUAUAUAUAUAUAUAUAUAUUCCCCCCUUUCCUGCAUCACAUUGUGGGUCGAGCGGAAUAUAUACAUACACACACAAAGACACAAACACACACAAUAUAUAUAUAUAUAUAAAUAUUUCUUUAUUGCCCACAGGUGACUAAAUAUAGAUAGAGGGGACAAAAAAGGACAGACAAACGGAUUAAGUCGAUUACAUCAACCCCAAUGCGUAACUGGUACUUAUUUAAUCGCCCCGAAAGGAUGAAAGGCAAAGUCGACCUCGGCGGAAUUUGAACUCAGAACGUACAGACAGACGAAAUACCUAUUUCUUUACUACCCACAAGGGGCUAAACACAGAGAGGACAAACAAGGACAGACAAACGGAUUAAGUCGAUUAUAUCGACCCCACUGCUACUUAUUUAAUCGACCCCGAAAGGAUGAAAGGCAAAGUAGACCUCGGCGGAAUUUGAACUCAGAACGUAACGGCAGACGAAAUACCGUUAAGCAUUUCGCCCGCCGUGCUAACGUUUCUGCCAGCUCGCCGCCUUAGAUAUUGGGAAUAUUAUAAAACGUAAGGAAGGUAAGUUUGCAGUGGUCUUCCAACGAUUAAAUCGUUGGAAGAUAAGCAAUCUAUCAGCAAUGCUGUCCUUAAACGUCCGUUGCAAUUCCAACAGCGAUGUAUGCAUGAUAACAUGGUCACGUACACGAUUUAAUCUCAUGUACGGUUUAGUCGCAUACACAGAGAAAUACACUAUUUUGAAAGAACCCCUCCUUAGGCAGUGAGAGACGCCACCCCCAACCCAACCCAGUGACACCUUUUACCAAAGACAGUUUUUCAGAUUUCUCUAAUUUUUUUCACACAUUUCAUCAUUCUAGUGGUGGAUAUGAAAACCGUACCUUCUGCCGGAAAUAUUGAAAGAGUACGGCAGAAGCAAGAAAAUAUCGGUUUCAAGUUUUGGCACAACGUCAGCAAUUUCGAGAGGGGUGGGUGAGAUGGUAAAUCGAUUACAUCGAUCUCAGUACUCAAGUGGUACUUAUUGAAAGGAUGAAAGGCAAAGUAGAUCGCGAUGGGAUCUCAACUAAGAACGUAAACCCGAAGACGAAAUCCUACAAAGCACAAUUCCAGGCGGCGAAUUUAUUUCCCCACGAAAGUUCCGGACCCCAGUUAUGAACUCAUUUGUAUACAGCCAAUCAGAGCUCAACUAGUGGCAAUAAGAUAAUGUCACUUGAGUAAGGAAUGACCAUGCUUCUUUUCUCUUUUAAGAAUACGUGUUGUUAUUUGUGUUGUUUACUUUGUAUAGCAGUAAGAGGAGAGGGUUGCUAGCACAUCACCCUUUACCCACAUUUUUCCCAUUCACACCGUUACCAUAAGGACCCUAACAAUAUCCGAUAAUAGAUGCAAAUCUAUCUAAUUACUUGCCUCCCGUUAAAAGGAGGGCUGGGCAUGCCGUGGUUGAUGAUGCGCAGACACGCGCUGAGACUGCGACAUCUCUGGCUCUAUGUAGACGACGAUGAACAGGUGUGGUCGCCGUUUGUGAGGCACGCUUUCCCGCAGCUCGUCUCCAUGACCGAACUGCAGUCGUGGAUCAAAAAGAGGCCGAGGAAGGGCGAAUGGCACCGCGAGUGUCGCGUUGCUCUCAAGCAACUCUGCCGUCCUGGGUCGACCUUGAGUGACUUCAACACAACCAAAGCAUUCUAUAGGGGUUUAGUGGAGGGGAGGUACGACGACGAGCUCGGGGCGAACCUGGACGUCGACGAGGAGUACCUGACCCGCCUGUCAAGGACGACUUUCGGGCCAGGGCCCAUGGACAACUUCCAGAGAUCCCUGGCCUGGCAGUGCUACCGAGAAGCGCUACCCGUUCGGGAUAAGCUCUACAGACACGGCUCGAGAAACACGGGGCCGACCUGCCCGAGAUGCGGUCAGAGCGACGAAACCGUUCUGCACGCACUCGUGCAGUGUCCAACAAUUUCCGACCUGUGGGCUUAUGUCGAACAACUGCUGUCACGUGUGGGACGAGUCGGUUUAUCAGCUGAGUCUAUCGUCAAUAUUGUCACGCCUCCUUCCUUCAAACGGGAAGGAAGAGCUAUUUUCAUCAUCCUUGUGGCUAUGGCGAAAGAAUGUAUCUGGUGGACGCGUCUGAAAGGAUUGGAGACAAACAUUUUCCUCUCUGGUCAAUCUCUCAUCCACUUCUUCAAGUACCACUUGAAAAGGAAAGUGAGAGUAGAGAGGCAAGUUUUGUCUAGCGAAUGUUUUAAAAAAAGAUGGGUGAAUGUAGCAAGAAUGGCACGUAUGAAUGACGAACCCACCUUGAGCAUAAUCCUAUGAACCCAGAAAUUGAAAACAGAGAGUUGCUUAUUUGCAAAAAAAAAAGAAAUAUAACAUGUGACUCCAUUGACCGAGGUUACCGUGGUCUUUUCCGUAGGCUUUUCUUUCCACGGGUAAACCUCACCUGUCCUCCCCUUUACACUUCAUAUUGACAUUUCUGUGAUAACGAUCCCUAUUGAUCAAUUUUUUUUUCCUCUCCCCCCUUUUUUUUAACCCCCCUUUUUUGUCCUCUUUCUCUCCUUUUACGAUCCCUUUUGAUCGAAACUCCCCCCUUCCUUUUUUUUUUUUUUUUAACCUUCAAAAGAAAAGCUCUACCUUGUAAUUUGUUCUAUCUGUGUGCAGCCCUGUGUGGCUAAUAAAGAAACAUAAUUACUUGCCUCUUUCUAAAAUCAGGCAUAACUUGGCGGCCGGUCGGCUCACAACAGCGUUCUUCGUCUUGAGUUUACUUGGUAGAGUGUGUUUGUUAGCUUGACAACAAGGUCAAGGUAAGCUCUGAUUGGAUGUAUGCAAAUGAGUUCAUUACUGGGGACCGGAACUCUCGUGAGAAAAAAAAAUUCGCUUUCCGGCGCGCUGACGAUUCUACCUGCUUGCCACCUUAGAAGCAGAAAAUAUAAGUUGUGGGGGGGUGUUUGGGGGGGGGGUCUGUGUUUGUGUGUGUGAAUGAUCAUGUAAUUUAUACAAUCAAAGGGUUAACAGAAUAAUAGAAGGAUUUCGUGGAGUAUAUAUGCUUUUUCUAUACACUCUACAUAUGUCAAGUUAUAUGGCACGGAACCUACUCCGUUGUGCACUCUCACAGAUUCUUGCUUGCAAAUUCAUUCCUGAUGUAUUUUGAGAAAUAAUUAUAUACAUAUGUACACGUAUAUAUAUAUAUAUAUAUAUAUAUAUAUAUAUAUAUAUAUAUAUAUAUAUAUAAUAGUAUUUACCACGAGAGCAUUCAAGACAACUUGAUUGCUGUGUUCUCAUAUAUACAUAUAUAUACAUAUACAUAUAUAUAUAUACUUUUGUCUGGGAGAGAGACGCACACAAAGAGAGAGUAAGACGAUAAGAGAGGGAAGAGACAGAAAAAGAAAGAGAAAGCGAACGAGAGGAGAAAUUUCAAGAAGGUUAAGAAAACGAUGAUGUGUUGGAAACCUUAUUGGCAUGAGUUCAGAACUAGAGAAGACUACUUGCAAUUCUUAAGCAUUCUUCAUGUGAAGAACAAAUAUGUGUGCUCUUCGGCAUACAAAUAUGAAACUUAUUUCAUCGAUCACGUACAUAAUCAUAUACACAUAUAUACACAUUGUACGUACCAUUUGUCUCAUCAGUAAAGUAGCACUUAAACCCUAAUUCACUGUCUACAUAUGGGACACCUUGCAUAUGUGUGUAUAGAUAGAUAGAUAGAUAGAUAGAUAGAUAGAUAGAUAGAUAGAUAGAUAGAUAGAUAGAUAGAUGGAUGGAUGGAUGGAUGGAUGGAUAGAUAGAUAGAUAGAUAGAUAGAUAGAUAGAUAGAUAGACAGACAGACAGACAGACAGACAGACAGACAGAUAGAUAGAUAGAUAGAUAGAUAGAUAGAUAGAUAGAUAGAUAGAUAGAUAGAUACAUACAUACAUACAUACAUACAUACAUACACAUGUGUGUAUACUCUUUACUCUUUUACUUGUUUCAAUCAUUUGACUGUGGCCAUGCUGGAGCACCGCUUUUAGUCGAGCAAAUCAAUCCCAGGACUUAUUCUUUGUAAGCCUAGUACUUAUUCUAUCGGUGUCUUUUGCCGAACCGCCUAUUAAAGGGGACGUAAACACACCAACAUCGGUUGUCAAGCGAUGUUGGGGGCACAAACACAGACACACAAACAUACACACACACAUUUAUAUAUAUAUAUAUAUAUAUGUAUAUAUAUAUGUAUGUAUAUAUAUGUAUGUAUGUAUGUAUGUAUGUAUGCAUGUAUAUAUAUAUAUAUAUAUAUAUAUAUAUAUAUAUCCGACGAGUUUCUUUCAGUUUCCGUCCACUCACAAGGCUUUGGUCGGCUCGAAGCUAUAGUAGAAGACACUUGCCCAAAGUGCCACGCAGUGAGACUGAACCCGGAACCAUGUGGUUGGUAAGCAAGCUACUUAUGUAUAUAUAUGUAUAUGUAUGAAUAUUUGUAUAUAUAAUUUAUAAUAUAUAUAAAGAGUAAAGACCCCACUUCGGUCAUAAAUGACCAUGGGAUUGCUCCUGGAAAGUCCCCCUCCGAGGUACAAGUUCGGGCAAGAUUGUUUAUGGAAAGCCUGCAGCCGCCAAUGCAUAUCAGCCUCCACUUUCCAUGCAACUGAUGUCAUCCAAGAGAAAGGCAAAGGCCAGCACAGCUUGGCACCAGUGACGUUGCAACUCAUUUCCACAGCUGAACUGGAGCAAUGUGAAAUAAAGUGUCUUGCUCAAGAACACAACACACAGCCUAGUUCAGGUAUCGAACUCACUAUCUCAUGAUUGUGAGCCCGACGCGCUAACCACUGAGCCAUGCGUCUUCAUAUAAUAUAUAUAUUCUUUGGAUCUUUUCUAUUCUGAAGCCAGUUUUUUCAAAUUUUUCCUACUGAACCAAAUAAUUUGAAACUUCGUAUACAGGUAGAAUGUGUCAAAAGUAAACUUAAUUGUAAACCAGAAUGAAAACGGAAUUGUAACUUCUAAGUUUAACGUUGUUUAAUAAUUAGAAUUUUAACCAAUGAUAUUCCGUCAUUCGGCUUUAUUUUAUUUACUCCGUCUCGACCACCAAUUUCGUGACGUAUUAAACAUCUUAAAUGUAAACAAGCGCAUCCUUCUAAUUAUUUAACGUACUCAUGUUUCCAGGAUCCUAUAGUCAGCCACCUUCUAAUAACAAUAUUUAAAACUAGUUAAUAAGCCACAUGUAUUAAAUUGAAAAUGUUUCCAUUCUGUAUGUCUGCAUGUAUGUGUGUGUGUAUGUAUGUGUAAGUAUGUGUGUGUGUGUGUAUGUAUGUAUAUGGCCGAUUCAUCGUAAUUACGAUGAAUCGGCCAUACAUACAUAGAUACAUACACACACACACAUACAUGCAGACAUACAUAUACACAUACACCGAGUAAAAAAUUUCAGUUAUCUCUCUCUUUCACACAUUACUCUCUCUGUCUCUUCACACACACUAACAGAAGCACUUCACUUACACAACAUACUGUCUCCCACACCCCAUUAAACACACACACACACACACAUGUACAUCAAUGCUUCCCCUAGACGGUAACUUCAAAGACAAACUUCCCUCGUCAUAAAAUCGCUUCCUCUUAGUCUCUUUCGCUCUCAUUACUUAUGUAAAAAAAUAAAAGUUUUUUACGGAAAUCGACGGAAAACUUGUGCUACGACAAGCGAAACUUCGCCGAAAUGUAAUAUUAAAAAAGCAAAGAGCUGGCAGAAACGUUAGCACGCCGGGCGAAAUGCGUA
rnacentral:lncRNA from 1 species